rfam:Rhizobium oryzae strain 1.7048 scaffold8, whole genome shotgun sequence.
UGCUUAUCCCGUGGUGAUUUGGCCGGUCGGCUUGCAGCCACGUUAAACAAAUGGCUAAAGAGACCGGGGCGAUGGAACC